rnacentral:rRNA from 1 species
AUACGGAGGGUGCAAGCGUUAUUCGGAAUCACUGGGCGUAAAGGACGCGUAGGCGGGUUGGCAAGUCAGAUGUGAAAUCCUACAGCUUAACUGUAGAACUGCAUUUGAAACUGCUAACCUAGAGUAUGGGAGGGGGAGAUGGAAUUAGUGGUGUAGGGGUAAAAUCCGUAGAUAUCACUAGGAAUACCGAAAGCGAAGGCGAUCUGCUGGGACAUUACUGACGCUGAGGCGUGAAAGCGUGGGGAGCAAACAGGAUUAGAAACCCGAGUAGUCC